rnacentral:rRNA from 1 species
UGGGUGACCUGCCUCAAAGAGGGGAAUAGCCUCCCGAAAGGGAGAUUAAUACCGCAUAAUAUGUUUAGGUCGCAUGACUUUAACAUCAAAGGAUUUUUCUUUUUAAGAAAUUCCACUUUGAGAUGGACCCGCGGCGCAUUAGCUAGUUGGUGAGGUAACGGCUCACCAAGGCAACGAUGCGUAGCCGACCUGAGAGGGUGAUCGGCCACAUUGGAACUGAGACACGGUCCAGACCUCGUACGGG